rnacentral:rRNA from 1 species
UUGACCUCAAAUCGGGWGAGACUACCCGCUGAACUUAAGCAUAUCAAUAAG